AUACUCAUCUCCAUCGCUUUCUUUAUGAUAAUCUUUGCUUGGAUGUACUGGUAUUUAUUGUAGUGAGAUUUGCUCUUUGUGUUUUGUAUGAAGAGUUUAUUCAUAUGCUUGUUGAUCCAUGGCCAUGCAGAGUUGGACUAGUGUCACUCUAUUAUUGAAGAAGGACCUUUGAUUGUCCACUCCCUCGUUGCCUUUGGAAGCAAAUGCUACUAUUUGUGCCACUUUUUGCUACACUGUUGUUUGUUCCUCUCAUACUAUCUCAUUUAGUGGUGCAAUACUAUUCGUAUUGGAAUACUCAUUUACAUUUUCAAUUUGUU
rnacentral:lncRNA from 1 species